rnacentral:rRNA from 1 species
ACGAACGCUGGCGGCGUGCUUAACACAUGCAAGUCGAACGGAAAGGCCCUGCUUUUGUGGGGUGCUCGAGUGGCGAACGGGUGAGUAACACGUGAGUAACCUGCCCUUGACUUUGGGAUAACUUCAGGAAACUGGGGCUAAUACCGGAUAGGAGCUCCUGCUGCCUGGUGGGGGGUGGAAAGUUUCGGCGGUUGGGGAUGGACUCGCGGCUUAUCAGCUUGUUGGUGGGGUAGUGGCUUACCAAGGCUUUGACGGGUAGCCGGCCUGAGAGGGUGACCGGCCACAUUGGGACUGAGAUACGGCCCAGACUCCUACGGGAGGCAGCAGUGGGGAAUAUUGCACAAUGGGCGGAAGCCUGAUGCAGCAACGCCGCGUGCGGGAUGACGGCCUUCGGGUUGUAAACCGCUUUCGCCUGUGACGAAGCGUGAGUGACGGUAAUGGGUAAAGAAGCACCGGCUAACUACGUG